AACGAACGCUGGCGGCAUGCCUAACACAUGCAAGUCGAACGAAGGCUUCGGCCUUAGUGGCGCACGGGUGCGUAACGCGUGGGAAUCUGCCCUCAGGUUCGGAAUAACAGCGAGAAAUUGCUGCUAAUACCGGAUGAUAUCGCGAGAUCAAAAAUUUAUCGCCUGAGGAUGAGCCCGCGUAGGAUUAGCUAGUUGGUGUGGUAAAGGCGCACCAAGGCGACGAUCCUUAGCUGGUCUGAGAGGAUGAUCAGCCACACUGGGACUGAGACACGGCCCAGACUCCUACGGGAGGCAGCAGUGGGGAAUAUUGGACAAUGGGCGAAAGCCUGAUCCAGCAAUGCCGCGUGAGUGAUGAAGGCCUUAGGGUUGUAAAGCUCUUUUACCCGGGAUGAUAAUGACAGUACCGGGAGAAUAAGCUCCGGCUAACUCCGUGCCAGCAGCCGCCGCUG
rnacentral:rRNA from 1 species